rnacentral:rRNA from 1 species
CCUACGGGAGGCAGCAGUGAGGAAUAUUGGUCAAUGGACGAGAGUCUGAACCAGCCAAGUAGCGUGAAGGAUGACUGCCCUAUGGGUUGUAAACUUCUUUUAUAUGGGAAUAAACUGUUCCACGUGUGGGAUUUUGUAUGUACCAUAUGAAUAAGGAUCGGCUAACUCCGUGCCAGCAGCCGCGGUAAUACGGAGGAGCCGAGCGUUAUCCGGAUUUAUUUGGUGUAAAGGAAGCGUAGGUGGAUUGUUAAGUCAUUUGUGAAAGUUUGCGGCUCAACCGUAAAAUUGCAGUUGAAACUGGCAGUCUUGAGUGCAGUAGAGGUGGGCGGAAUGCGGGGUGUAGCGGUGAAAUGCGUAGAUAUCACGAAGAACUCCGAUUGCGAAGGCAGCUCACUGGACUGCAACUGACACUGAGGCUCGAAAGUGUGGGUAUCAAACAGGAUUAGAUACCCGAGUAGUC